rnacentral:rRNA from 1 species
CCUACGGGAGGCAGCAGUGGGGAAUAUUGGACAAUGGGCGAAAGCCUGAUCCAGCAAUGCCGCGUGAGUGAUGAAGGCCUUAGGGUUGUAAAGCUCUUUUACCAGGGAUGAUAAUGACAGUACCUGGAGAAUAAGCUCCGGCUAACUCCGUGCCAGCAGCCGCGGUAAUACGGAGGGAGCUAGCGUUGUUCGGAAUUACUGGGCGUAAAGCGCGCGUAGGCGGCGAUUCAAGUCAGAGGUGAAAGCCCGGGGCUCAACCCCGGAACUGCCUUUGAAACUAGAUUGCUAGAAUCUUGGAGAGGUCAGUGGAAUUCCGAGUGUAGAGGUGAAAUUCGUAGAUAUUCGGAAGAACACCAGUGGCGAAGGCGACUGACUGGACAAGUAUUGACGCUGAGGUACGAAAGCGUGGGGAGCAAACAGGAUUAGAUACCCUGGUAGUCCACGCCGUAAACGAUGAUAACUAGCUGUCCGGGCACUUGGUGCUUGGGUGGCGCAGCUACGCAUUAAGUUAUCCGUCCGUCGGGUAGGUACGGUCGCGAAGAAUUAAACUUAACAAUAGUAAGUUAGACGGCGUGAGACGUCGACCGAACGGACGACCGACGAGGGAGGUAGG